rnacentral:rRNA from 1 species
UCUAAGUAUCACCUGCCAGACAGGGAAACUGCGUACGGCUCAUUACACCAGCCUUCAUUUACUUGACCUUGACAACCUACUUGGAUAACUGUGGUAUCUCUAGAGCUAAUACAUGCACCAAAGCUCCGAUCCUCGCGGAGAGGAGCGCAUUUGUUCGCCACAAAACCAAGCCCCCAUCUGGGCGUCCAGUGCUGAACCAGUACAACUCAGCUGAUCGCACGGUCUUGUACCGGCGACGUGUCUUUCAAGUGUCUGCCUUAUCAACUUUCCAUGGUAGUGUACCUGACUACCAUGGUUGUGACGGGCAACGGAGGAUAAGGGUUCGACUCCGGAGAAGGGGCCUGAGAAAUGGCCACUACGUCUAAGGAUGGCAGCAGGCGCGCAAAUUACCCACUCUCAACGCGAGGAGGUACUGACGAGAAAUAACGAGACCGUUCUCAUACGAGGCCGGUUAUUGGAAUGGGUACAAUUUAAA